rnacentral:rRNA from 1 species
UGGGGAAUUUUGCACAAUGGGGGAAACCCUGAUGCAGCGACGCCGCGUGAUUUAGAAGGCCUUCGGGUCGUAAAAAUCUUUUUUAUGGGAUGAAAAUGACAGUACCAUAAGAAUAAGGUCCGGCUAAAUACGUGCCAGCAGCCGCGGUAAUACGUAUGGACCGAGCGUUGUCCGGAAUCAUUGGGCGUAAAGGGUACGUAGGCGGCCCAGUAAGUUAGAAGUGAAAUAAUAUAGCUCAACUAUAUAAAGCUUUUAAAACUGCUAGGCUUGAGAGAUGGAAGGGAAAGUGGAAUUCCUAGUGUAGCGGUGAAAUGCGCAGAUAUUAGGAAGAAUACCGGUGGCGAAGGCGACUUUCUGGUCAUCAUCUGACGCUGAGGUACGAAAGCGUGGGUAGCAAACAGG